UUAAAGAGUGCGUAACAGCUCACUAGUCGAGCGAUCGGGCGUGGAUAAUAAUCGGGCAUUAAGCAUACUGCCGAAGCAAUAGCUCCGAAUUUUUUCGGAGGGUAGGGGAGCAUUCUAGUUGCGCUGAAGGUGAACUGUGAGGUUUGCUGGAGCGGCUAGAAAAGAAAAUGUAGGAAUAAGUAACGAUAAAGGGGGCGAGAAACCCCCUCACCGAUAGACUAAGGUUUCCUGAACAACGCUAAUCGGUUCAGGGUUAGUCGGGACCUAAGGCGAACCCGAACGGGGUAGUCGAUGGACAACGGGUUAAUAUUCCCGUACUUGUGUAUACUGCGAUGGGGUGACGGAGUAGUGAAAGUCCUGCGUGCUGACGGAAUAGCACGUUGAAGCCAGUAGAUAUAUCGAUUGUAGGCAAAUCCGCAAUUGAUGUCGAAGGUGAUAGUACUCGGAGUCUUCGGAUGAUGAGAUAUGGACCUAAUCAGACUUCCAAGAAAAACCUCUAAGCUUCAGGUAUACACAACUCGUACCGCAAACCGACACAGGUAGUCAAGGAGAGAAUCCUAAGGUGCUCGAGUGAUUCAUGGCUAAGGAACUAGGCA
rnacentral:rRNA from 13 species